rnacentral:misc_RNA from 1 species
GAAAUGCGAUAAGUAAUGUGAAUUGCAGAAUUCAGUGAAUCAUCGAAUCUUUGAACGCACCUUGCGCUCCCUGGUAUUCCGGGGAGCAUGCCUGUUUGAGUGUCAUGAAACUCUCAAACCCAAGUUUUGGAUUUCGAUCCAUGCUUGAGUUUGGAUUUGGAUGUUUGCCGGUGAUGAACCGACUCAUCUUAAAAGUAUUAGCUAGAUCUGUCUCUAUGACUGGUUUGACUUGGCAUAAUAAGUAUUUUGCUGAGGACAUCUUCGGAUGGCCAGGACCUAGACUAUUGUCUGCUUACUAAAUCAUCACUUUAAGUGCAUCUUUGGAUGUUACUCAUUGUGUAACUUUGACAUCUGGCCUCAAAUCAGGUAGGACUACCCGCUGAGUUUAA